AACCGAAUUAAAGGGGCAUUUCUGCUAUAUAAAUGGCACCGGUGGGACAGAGAAAUCAGUAUCAUUUGUGGCCAGAGCUAAGGAAUGGAGAUUUGAGCAUCAAAGGGAAAAACAUCAAAAUAUCAAUUCUAUUGUUUUAAAUAAUUUUACUCUUGAAAUUCUGCAUGUUAAUCCAGACAUACCUUUAAAUGGAUGCAUUUAAUAAAGUAAUGUGGAGCUGAAA